UCCUGGUUAGCUCAGUUGGUAGAGAGCUUUACUGGAAAUAAAGAGGUCCCUGGUUCGACACCAGGACCUGGCG
rfam:Ixodes scapularis strain Wikel colony gcontig_1108379633126, whole genome shotgun sequence.